UGUUUCCAUUUAUUCCACCCAGAGAAAGCCUGUCAGACCAUUUUCUUUUAAUAUUAUGAAUUUGUUUGGAAAAUGUUAAAACCCACCAAAUGAUGCCAACUGUCCAUAAUAAUGAUUGUUGCCAUUACAAAAGUACCUUUGGGAAUAAAUGUG